AGCGAACGCUGGCGGCAGGCCUAACACAUGCAAGUCGAACGAACCUUUCGGGGUUAGUGGCGGACGGGUGAGUAACACGUGGGAACGUGCCUUUAGGUUCGGAAUAACUCAGGGAAACUUGUGCUAAUACCGAAUGUGCCCUUCGGGGGAAAGAUUAAUCGCCUUUAGAGCGGCCCGCGUCUGAUUAGCUAGUUGGUUGAGGUAAUGGCUCACCAAGGCGACGAUCAGUAGCUGGUCUGAGAGGAUGAUCAGCCACAUUGGGACUGAGACACGGCCCAAACUCCUACGGGAGGCAGCAGUGGGGAAUCUUGCGCAAUGGGCGAAAGCCUGACGCUGCCAUGCCGCGUGAAUGAUGAAGGUCUUAGGAUUGUAAAAUUCUUUCACCGGGGACGAUAAUGACGGUACCCGGAGAAGAAGCCCCGGCUAACUUCGUG
rnacentral:rRNA from 1 species